AGCUGUUCACAACCGUCAAAACGAAACAGCCACGGGUGCCAGCUGGACAUUGGGGUUAUAUGAUACGUAGUAAUUAUUAGAACGUCCGUAGUCGAUUUAUUCUUUUGUUUCUAAACAAGCAAAUGCUCACACGACAUAUCACAUUCAUGCAACAAUUUCACCCACCCAUACUGUUGUAAACUACGCAGACGAAGAAUGGCCAAGUCCAUUGAAGAGGUUGAGGAUUUAUUCAGCACAAGUCAUACUAACGAACCAGUCAAAGAAGAUGCAUCGCAGCCAGCAAAUCCUACAGUAUCGUACGACGAUAUCGCAACCAAGUUACUUAACGAAAGACUAUUACUCACCGCAUUGGAGAUGCACGCUGAAUUAUGCGAAGCAGGAAGUGAACUGCCUAUCCUUAGGGAUUAUUUUUCAAAUCCAGGGAACUUUGAGACUCAAAACAUCAAGCCGGAGCCUUACAUUGCUUUGCCUAGAUCACUCAGUCAAGCUACCCUAGACUCACUCGAUAUGACAAGAUAUUCAGAGGACGGUGGCGGAAUAGAUGAACGUGUCGCUAUACUGGAAUUUGAGCUCAGAAAAGCAAGGGAAAAUAUUUCGGCACUCAGGGCCAACCUUACCGUCGCCACAGAGUCUGAAGCAAUGACGCCAGAUACAGGGCUUGACAAACAAAUAGUGAUUGAUUUCCCAAUCAAACCUCACGAACAGCGAGCGCUUAAUUAUCUUGUCAACGAGUACCUCCUAGCUCACUCCUAUAAGCUGACGUCUAUUACAUUCAGUGAUGAGAAUGAAAACCAAGAUUUCGAGGACUGGGAUGAUGUUGGGUUGAAUAUUCCAAAACCUGCACAGCUCUUGCAGAUAUACAGGGAAUUCAUGAGGGCUAGCGGCCACGACAAACCACACUCAGCAAAUGUCAGUGUACAAACAGAAUUUGUUCAAGAUUUGAAUUCGGAAACAGUUGACAAAGAUGAAGAGUUGAAAGAAAUGACUUUUGAAAUACAGCAAUUGAAAGAACAAAGAGCUGUUUUAGAGCAAGAAAAAUCAGAGCUAGAAGGACUUUUAGUUUCGAGUGAAACUGAUUUAAUACUUGGCGAGACAAAGGAUAGCACAGGGACGAUACAAACGAUAAACUCCAACUCAUCAACCCCUGAAAAGUUUGAGAUUCUUGAUUCGAUGCUCCAGGAUAUUUCUAACAUGACUCAAGAAUCUUGUGGAGAUGAUACAACCUCAGUUGUGACUAGCCUGAAUGAAACCGAUCCGGGAGAUCGAGAAUGGACAACGCUACAAUUGCCUAGACCUGAUGUAACGAAACAGCCACGACUGGAUUCUUGUGACUCUUCUUUCAGAAUCUUACCAGCCAAUUUUGAGAGAGAAGUAGUAACUCAUUGCGUGGUGAACACGUCCAAUCCCGCAACAGCAUUCAUAGAAGAUCCACUGAGGAAUGGCGUGACUCAGAAAAGUAUUAUUCACAUAUUGACGUACUCUUUGCCCAGAAUAAUACCAAACGUUAUACUUAAUAAAAGAGAAGAGACAAUACCUCUAAUUCUUAGCGCAGUACAACUGCACACGAACAGUCGCGAGAGGGAAAAGUUACUGCAGUUACUUUUUAACCUGAAAAAGAGGCCGCAGGAGGAGGAGAGAUUGAAGAUAUUAGCUGGCUUAGUGGCAAUGGCGAAAUGUUCGAAGACUUCCAUAGAAACUGGUGAAGUUUUGGGCCAGUGUUGGGAACAGAGUCAGCACAAGCAUCUGGAACGAAGACUGCUGGCUGCAGAAUGCUGCUCAGCCUUGGCUCCACAUAUUUCAGGCACAACAAGAAAUUCUUUAAUGCUUUCUAUGCUGCAGCAAAUGCUUCUAGAAGAUACGGAGCCCGUGGUCAGAGCUACUGUUGUCAAGACUCUGGCGCUAUUAGUAGCAUUAAUGGAUGAUCCGGACAAAUAUUUCCAGUGUGAAGAACUGACUCUUACUGCUCUGGAUGAUUCCUCAUCUAUAGUGGUUGAAGCUGCAGCUAAAAUUCUUGUACCAGUGAUAGCGCAAUGGGCGCUUACACUUGGAAGAUUUCAGUCCCAUCUGCUGCCACGAAUACUUAGCAAAUUAAGGAGCCAGCUAAAGCCCUCACACCACCAAAAUAUCCAGAACAAAAUUCAUUCUGACGGAGAUAGAGCUGUUGCAUCUAUCAAUGUGCUGCAGUACCUCCUACCGCAUACCGUUGUAUGCGUUGCUAACACUGAGAAUGUCAAAGCAUUUGUUCAAGAAUCAAAACCUUCGGACUUACCAGACGAGUUUUCCGCCCUUUGCCAGCUGUCCCUGUUAAAUCCGAGAGUAUUUUAUGAAGGCGAUAUGGACAUUACAGCUGUGCUUCACGCAUUCUUCGCAAAUACAUGGGAAAAUGACACUUGGCCAGAAUUAGAGUGGCUAUCUAAUAAAUUAUUACCAGAUGUAAUUGACGUAGUGAAAUCGAUCAACGUUACCCAAGAAGCUGUUUUGAAUGCUUUCAUCACAUAUAUACAUUCUCUCUGCUGUGCCUUUGGCAGACACAUAACUGUAUCAAAGAUUCAGCCCAUUUUUGCUGCCAAAUUGACGGAACUUGAGCAACAACUCAUAAUGUUGACACCCGACAGAGGAGCUCUGAGCUUAAUGUUGAUUCCGGCAUACUUGACGAUUCUAUCGACCCUUGAUGUGACUGAAGUAACGAAAGCAUUGAAUCAAUUUAUUGUUGCCGUGGCUAUAAGCGGCGUCAGCAGUGCAAGUCUACAAAUGGCUGUUAUCAGACUCUGUAAUGAAACUCGACUGCAGGAACACGUUCUUAACGCUCUCUGGGAUGGAGUGGUUCAUCAAAGAUCGACAGUCCGAUGUGCGACUGCAGUUUUAUUCAGUUCUGUAAUAUCUCAUAUUACGGACCAUUUAGCCAACACAAGAGUAGCACCAGCCAUAGUGACACUGGCCAAUGACACUGAUUUAACAGUCAAAGCUGCCGCUAUCCCAGCACUAGCUCAUCUUGUCACUGAGUGUGGAGCCAAAGAGGCAAGGGAUAAAGCGCGGUUGACACUGGAAAUGAUAGCUCGAGAACCACAGGGCAUCCCGUCAUCAUUGGCAGUUUCUUUGGUCACUGCUCUCUCAAGUAUCGCGCCAAACUGUCCCCAAAAUUACACAGAAGAUGUGAUAGCUACCCAGUUAGCGGGCAUAACGGCCUCCGCUCUUCAGCAGGGGCGAAAAAUCGAGCUCACAAAUUCCCUCGUCGAAGCCUACUCGGUCCUUGUCUACUGUCCACUCAGUAAUCAAUGCAUUACCGGUGUUCUUUUGCCUGGGCUUAGGUACCUUGAAGUGCUCGUCAACCAAACCCAACCUCAGCACAUAGAAUUAGUGAAUUCAUUACUCAAGGAGGCCACGUCCAGGCUAGAUUCCCAGAAGCCAUUGGAACGAUCGGCAUCAUCAAGUUCCGGGCUGUCUCUUGCGAUAGCGAACGUGAACGUUGGUCAGGGAGUGGAGGACAUGUGUCAGAGGAUGAGUAAGAUAUUCCAACAGAAGUCAAACACGCCUAGUAUGGCAAAUAUAUUUCGUAAAAAGUAAACAGUUAAUCAGUGAACUGUAAUUAUUUUUAAAAGAAUGUUAGGUCACUUGAAGCACAUCAGUUCGACAUUGUUUCAGAAGAUUGAGUUUUAUAUCCAAAAUAGAAGCCAGAUCGAAUUGUUUUUGCGAAAAGAUAUUCGUAUCGUAUCAACAAAGUGUGCUAUGAUUUUAGCAGGGUGAAAAUUGAUUGGGUGUAUGUUAGACUGGGCUAAAAAAAUUGACUAUUUUUUUUUUUUUUUGAAAAAUAUAUUGAGAAUAUCAUUCAGUAUGGCAAAAAAAAAAUGAUAUUCUCAAUAUAUUUUUCAAAAAAAAAAAUAGUCAAUUUUUUUGGCCCAGUCUAGUGUAUGUGAGUAUAUCCAUCUGCACCUGUGCAAGGAGAGUUCGAUCGGGCUCAUAUCGGGCUCAUGUUUUUGGGGUAUCAUAUUAUGCUUUCUCCUAAAACCCUGUCGGACUGAUGUACAUCCGUAACGUCAUUCCUUCCUGCGUCACUUAUAUUUUAUUGUAUAUAAUUAAUAAGAAUAGGAAUUGAAUUCAAUAACAAGGAUAGUUUGAAAAAAAAAAAAAAAUCAAGUCUGAGAGGAUAGAAUGAAUUUUGAAUUGAUUAUUAUUUUAUAUGUUGCAGAGCUCAUUUCGUAUUUUCUUUUUUAUGUAAAUGAAGAACGGGAAUUGUGGAUAAAAGUUUAUUCACACAUAGCAUUAUAUCACAUAUACAUUAGGGUGGUUCAGGAAAAAAAUGUUGUUUUCGCUUUCACCCCCUGAAAUGUAGGUGUUUGAUAGAAAAAAAGGUUGCUGAUUCGAUUUUUAUUUCCAUUCGUUUAACAUGGAAACGUGUCAUUUUUCAUUAAGACUUAAAAUACUCGGAACUAUUCAAAUUUUUCAAAUUCAUGCAUAGAUCUUUCGAGCUGGGUCUUCAAGUUUUUCAAAUCUCUAUAAGAAAGCAUAGUUACAAUUAGAAAAGACAUUACAGUCAUCUGAAAACUACUCAUUUAUACCGAAACGAAAAAAUCGGUAGUGUUCUGAUGAUGAUAAUUAUGGAUUGUUAUAUAGAGCUGGGAAGCUUGAAGAAUCAGCUUCAAGGAUCUAUACAUGGAUUUGAAAAAUACAGAAUAGUUUACGAGUAUUUUAACUUUGAACGAAAAGCGAAAUCUUCCUAUGUUAAAUAAAUGUGAAAUCAAAGUCACAAGAGCGACUUCUUAGACUUGAGCUUGAGAGGUUGUUUAAAAAAAAUGUGUUGGAAAAAAAAAAUUCUCGAACCAUCCUAUUAUACAUUAUACAUAUUUGUAUGUUAUUUCGUUAUCAUUCAGUAUACAUAUACAGGUAUGGCAGUUUUCUGACCGCACAAAGCAUUGAAGAAACGUAUCAGUCCAGUCAUUGUGUCCGAAAAGAGGCAAAGAAAGAAAAAUAAAUCGAAAAGUUUAAUUUUUAAACAUUGUGUGGGCGUGGGGGCUUCGAAAACUCAACCUCAAAUUGUCGACCAAGAUUCUCUAUAAGCCUUCUCCGCCAUCUUGAAAAGGGUAAUUUUUUUCGAUAACUCGGCUCUUCGACGUGAUACAAAAAUUUCGAUCAUAUACUUUGUUUUAGCUUUUUUUACGCUCUGCAAUUUGAGUUUCAUAAUUUUUUCACUUAUUAUUCAUAGUUGUUGAAACAUCGAACGAAACAGAGAAUAAUUAAGAGAUUGAAACUCGGUUUUUCCAUUUUUACAGCAAUCCUCUAUAGAAUUGCUCUAAUAAAGUUCUCGACAACUUUUGUACAGAACAUUUAUUUUUAUAAUGCAGUUUUUGAUUUAUAGCACAGCAAACCUUUCCAACCAUGGUUAUUGCUGAAUAUACACAUAGUUAACGAUUGAUGAAACUGUAAAAUUGGCCAAAAUCACAUUUGUACAAUAUAGAUUUUAUUCCGAACUUUUCUUCCUGUAAAAUUGAUAUCUUAAGAGAUAUACCUACAGCGUAAACAUUGCGUCGCGUGAGUGAUCAGUGGAAAUGUUAAUCGUAACACACUCGUAGAAUUUCAUAAAAUGGCAAAAAGUUUUCAGAACAAUGACAAUACUGUGUAGUGAAUCUGUGAAAAUUGUAAAUAGUGUCAAAAACUACUAAUAAUUUAUAAAUCUUUCUUACCUGCAUAGGUAGAACGUCUUAUACAUCAUGAAAAAUUUUAAAUGCAGUGUGAUGCAAUUGUUUGUACAUCAUGUUAUUUUAUAAAAAUGAUGAUGACGAUAGCAAUAACAACAACGAGAGUGACAAUAAUAUCAAUAAUCAUGAGAAGUCAAAGACGGAGAAGAGAAUAACAGACUUCAAUGGAUGCAAAUUAAUUAAUUGAGCUGCAAAUUUCGAUCACAGUACUACCUCGUUAUAAGAGUGUCAGGGCGGUUAGGGGAAUAGGAUUCUAAGAAAUUCGGCGCCUGGACUCGAGAAUCGCACACACGUCGAUGAUCGUCACCACUCCUCGUUAUGAGAUAAUCACAGUUAUGUAUACGAAUGCAAUGCCUUCGUGCAUGAUUCGACGCAAUCGCUCUUUCGCUUAUAAUGAGGAGUCCUCGGUAAAGUUAGGAGACCUCAGGUAGAAGGAUAGAGUGGGGAAAGUUCUAAAACCCGCUCAAGCGGAACGCAUGGGAAAUCUAUACUACAUGUAAUAUAUAAAAUUCUUUGUAUGUAUGUUUGUACGGAUUUAACUUAAGAUCUAUUUGACGGGUUUUGAUGAAACUUUUUUUAAAAUGUUCUUUAUAAUUCCAGAAGUGCUAUAAGCUAUGUUAUAUUUAACUUUUUAAAUAAAAUUUUGAGUUCAUAAUCAAAGUUUUAUGCGUUCUGUACUACUUGAGCUAUUGCUGAGACCCACCGUUGCUCCAUCACUCCGAUCGCCCGUAGUGGGGGUUAAGAUUAUUGGCCGGGGGAGUAUGAUUAGAAGUAGGAGACGCAGAGCUAGAUCUGUAAUGUUCUUGCGGGAAAGCUCGCGCGACGGGCGUCCUGUGCAGAUCUUUGGAAGCGUCCAUAAAUUACGUCACCAGUUUUUUGGGGAGAAGGGGGGUGUCAGAUUACGACGAAAAAUGACUUGGUGAAGGGGGAGGGUUUAGAAAUUAUAACGUCCAUGCAAAAGGCCAAAUUCACAAAUAAAAAUUUUCGGUCGGUAACAAUGAAUACUGCGCGUGAUGUUUUCUUCCUGGUAACAAGGGGAGUCUAGAUUUAUUCGCGGGGUGGCGGCAAUCUGUGUUAUGUCAUUUGGAGGGGGGGUCUUUCAAUCUGACAGUUGAUGACAAAACCAUCCCUCCUCCAGGGGGUCAAUAUUCAAAAUUUGAUUACGUAGUUUAUGGACGUUCCCUCUUCUGUGAAAGCAAUAAUUUUUCUUCAUGAGAAUCUUCCACGAGAUCCAAUUUUAACGAUUAAAGAAAAAACUAUCACCCGGGAUUCGCUACGCCGGGUAUUUCUGCUGAGUUCUCUUAUAACGAGGUAGUGCUGUAAUUAAAUUUCAACAAGAAUAAGUUUCUAGCAUAUCAUUCUUCUGGGCGAAUUUUAUGGUUGUUCGUGGGAUAUUUUCAUAAAUCUUAUUGUAAAAUUAUGAAUCAGCUCCCCAAAUAUUUGAGUGCCAAAGUAAUCCGCCCUGCUUCCCUAUCUGCUGAUGUGAUCGUACUUAAAGAGGCGAUGGGUCUAUACCCUCUUUGCUAUGGGAAGUCGUAACUCCUGCAGGUAAAUAAAUCUAUUAUUAUUGUUGUUGUUAUUAAUAUUAUUAUAAUUAUUUUUAUGAUACACCAUGAUAUACAAACAAUUGUAUCGUGCUGUAUUGACAAUUUUUGAUGAGGUAUAAGACGUUCUACCCAUGCAGAUAAGAAAGAUUAUUACUAGUAAGAAAUCAUUACUAAUUAUUUACACUAUUUAUAAUUUUUAUAGAUCUACUACACAGUAUUGUCAUUUUCACUGAUCAUUCACGCGACACAAUGUUUACAGCGCUAUAGCUUUUAAAGUAUCAAUUUCAGAG
rnacentral:misc_RNA from 1 species